ensembl:snRNA U6 U6 spliceosomal RNA
GUGCUCUCUUCGGCAGCACAUAUACUAAAAUAGGAACAAUACAGAGAAGAGUAGCAUGGCCCCUGUGCAAGGAUGACACUCACAUUCAUGAAGUAUUCCAUAUUUUU